rnacentral:rRNA from 1 species
GUCCACUGAACCUUAUCAUUUAGAGGAAGGAGAAGUCGUAACAAGGUUUCCGUAGGUGAACCUGCGGAAGGAUCAUUGUCGAAACCUGCCCAGCAGAACGACCCGCGAACCAGUGAAUGCACACGCGGGGGCGAGGCGUCCGGCGCGCGAGUGCCUGGCGCCAGCCCCCGCUNCGCCACGGGGGGCGAGCACCGUCUCGCCCGCCGCGGCAAAACAACGAACCCCGGCGCGAGCUGCGCCAAGGAAAAUCAAACGAGGGAGCGCGCUCCCGCCGCCCCGGACACGGCGCGCGUGCGGGAUGCGUCGUCUUCUUUCAACGAAAAUCCAAAACGACUCUCGGCAACGGAUAUCUCGGCUCUCGCAUCGAUGAAGAACGUAGCGAAAUGCGAUACUUGGUGUGAAUUGCAGAAUCCCGUGAACCAUCGAGUCUUUGAACGCAAGUUGCGCCCCAAGCCGUCAGGCCGAGGGCACGUCUGCCUGGGUGUCACGCAUCGCUGCCCUUCCCCCAGCUCCCCUCGCGGGGCGCUGUCGGGCGGGUGGAGACUGGCCUCCCGCGCGCUCCCCGCUCGCGGUUGGCCCAAAUUCGAGUCUUCGGCGGCCGCGCCGCGACGAUCGGUGGCGAGAAAAAAAACUCUCGAGCUCUCGUCGCGCGCUCGCGCCUCCGUGUUCGCGGCUCAAGGACCCUUUACGCGCCCCGUACGCGGGAGCUCGCUUCGCGACCCCAGGUCAGGCGGGACUACCCGCUGAGUUUAAGCAUAUCAAUAAGCGGAGGA